rnacentral:rRNA from 1 species
GACGACCGCUUGCGGCGUGUUUACCACAUGCAAGUCGACCGGUGAUCCUCGAAGCUUGCUUCGGGGUGACCAAGUGGCGAACGGGUGAGUACCACGUGAGUACCCUGCCCCUGACUCUGGAAUAAGCGCUGGAAACGGCGUUUAAUACCGGAUAUGACGCGAACGGGCAUCCGUAUCGUGUGGAAAGUUUUUCGGUCUGGGAUGGACUCGCGGCCUAUCAGCUUGUUGGUGAGGUAAUGGCUCACCAAGGCGAUGACGGGUAGCCGGCCUGAGAGGGCGWCCGGCCACACUGGGACUGAGACACGGCCCAGACUCCUACGGGAGGCAGCAGUGGGGAAUAUUGCACAAUGGGCGAAAGCCUGAUGCAGCGACGCCGCGUGAGGGAUGACGGCCUUCGGGUUGUAAACCUCUUUCAGCAGGGAAGAA